rnacentral:lncRNA from 1 species
CUACUUUUGUCUUUAUUUUGCCGCUUAACAUGGUAUUUUAUUUUAUUUUUGUAAAACAUGUGUAUCUUGUUUCCUUAAAUAGAUAACCUUGUUUGGAGAGAAGUUUUUACACACAUUUUUCUAGUUGUUAUAAAACCAAACCUACCACUUUUUAGCUGAAUAUAGGAUUUAAAGCUCAAUAAUAACUUUUAUAAUAAGCACUGUUACUGGAGAACUUUCAACUACUCUGGGUAAUGCCAAAGAUACAUUUCACUAAAACAGUAAUUAUGCUUCUGGACCUUUGCCUGGUAAAAUGGAAAAGAUAUAAAAUAUGUGAUUUACACAUUUACACAUGUGAAUUUGUUUCCUUGGAUUUGACUUCAUAAAAAGUACCACCAGAUCUUCAAAAUAAUCUCUCAUUCUGAGUAAAUUAAAGCAGGCUGCCCAGCUUACUGUGUGUCCAGCUGGCUAAAGGCUUAAACAGGAAAGAGACUCAAGGAGAUUCUGUGGUAGGUAUAAGAUAAACAUGCUCUUGUUUAUGUUUUGCUGAUACUCUGGUUGUUUAGAAGUUGGGGAAUUUUUUUCCUUGCUUUGGGCUGUUCUUUUAAAAAAACCAAACAAUCAUCCAGUGCGCCUUGUGGCUUUGAUCUUUGUUUUUAUAUUUUGUUAUACAAGGCUCAAAGUCUUACAGUUUGUUGUGUUUCAUACUUUGCCAGAUCAUCCCCUUUCUAUAUAUAUUGCCUACAGAUGGCUGGAAGUAAAAAAUAAAGGAAAGGUAGAGUGUCUUAAAAACUGACA